GUCAGAGGCGAUGAAGGGCGUACUAAUCUGCGAUAAGCGCCGGUAAGGUGAUAUGAACCGUUAUAACCGGCGAUACCCGAAUGGGGAAACCCAGUGUGAUUCGUCACACUAUCAUUAACUGAAUCCAUAGGUUAAUGAGGCGAACCGGGGGAACUGAAACAUCUAAGUACCCCGAGGAAAAGAAAUCAACCGAGAUUCCCCCAGUAGCGGCGAGCGAACGGGGAGGAGCCCAGAGCCUGAAUCAGCAUGUGUGUUAGUGGAAGCGUCUGGAAAGGCGCGCGAUACAGGGUGACAGCCCCGUACACAAAAGCGCAUGUGCUGUGAGCUCGAUGAGUAGGGCGGGACACGUGGUAUCCUGUCUGAAUAUGGGGGGACCAUCCUCCAAGGCUAAAUACUCCUGACUGACCGAUAGUGAACCAGUACCGUGAGGGAAAGGCGAAAAGAACCCCGGCGAGGGGAGUGAAAAAGAACCUGAAACCGU
rnacentral:rRNA from 2 species